rnacentral:lncRNA from 1 species
UUCUUUGAUUCCUUUCAUAAAUAGAGAUGGAUUGAGUUUGCCCGAGUUUUCUUUUUUGUCCUGUUUGUUUUAUAAUUUCACUGGAGAUCAGUUUUGAUUAGCAUUUCGAUGCACUAGAGUUUUCUUUGAUUUCAGUUCUGGUUUUCGGACGAACAAUGGCACUCGUAGAGAAAUUUGAGUCUGCUGUUGUCUGAGCUUCUGAUUUCAACCCAUUAGCUUCCAGGUCUCGUUUAUAUUCCAAGCUCGUACAAAGUUAAACGGGUUGUUUAUUGAUUCAGGUUUGCUUUUAAUCCCAUGUAGCCUAUCUUUGGCAUUUUGAUUAUGAAAUGUGACUGUUUGGUCGUAAUGUGUUGGUUUUCCAUUUGCACGAGUAUGUCUGGUUUGACUCGGUUGUGUAUAUGUCAUUGAUUUCUGAUUGUGCUGUGUAUUUAGAACUAUUGCGAUCGUCUGUUAAAUUCUGUUACAUUCUGGUCGAACCGUCUUCAUGACUAGUUGAGUUCUUCAGAAGUUUCCUUUUGGUUAAGUUAGAAUUAAAAAAAAUUAAUAUGAGUAAUUAUUUGCUGCUGUAGUUUGAAUUGUGAGUGAGGGAUGAAACUAUCUUUGAGAUGCUGAGAAAUUGAAAGCCUCUUGUGGUUUGAAUCUGAAAUAUUGGAAACCUUGUUCUGGCUUCUUCCUUUUAGUGUGGAUUUUGUUGAUAUUUGCUAGCAAUUUAGCUAAGUAUCAGUUCUGAUUCGUGUUGGCUUCGCGCUAGAUUUAUUUGUUUCUUGAUGAUUCUAGUUUGAAACUAAUUAAUCCGCUGCUUGAACUAUUUGAGUUCCAUCCUGAUUUGUCUUAGCCUCAUUUUGGUUCAUCUUAGUUGAUACAUUGUUUAAUGAAGUAAGUUGUAAACCUUUGUGACACUAUAUCACUUAACAACUGAAACUGUUGGUUUUCAUUUAAAUAGCUGAAUCUAUUCGGAGCUGUCAUCUCUAAUUUUCCUUGGUUUUCGAACGAGAAGUUUGCUAGACGUGUUAUUGCUUGGUAAUAGGAUUACUGUUGAUCAUACAUCUUUGUUGCAUAUUGAGUUGAAUACCAGUUAGGAUGUUCUUGCUUUAUUUAUUGUUAAAAACAAUGAAAAGCAGUACUGUAGCUGCAUGCUUGUUUUAGUCGACUGUAUUUCAAAUCUUAUUUCAGUUUUUUCAUGGUUAUUAUGUUUGAUGUGGUGCAUCAGUCAAGCCAGUGCAUAUGUUGAAGAGUCGUGUCUAAUGUGAAUCUGAGUUAGCCGGAGUUUACUCCACGGAAAACCUGCCCUAUUUUGCACUGUUGCAUAUGUUGAAGAGUUGUGUCUAAUGUGAAUCUGAGUUAGCUGGGGUUUACUCCAUGGAAAACCUGCCCCGUUUUGCACUAUUCGAGUGUUAAUUUCGAGGGCUAAUUCUGUGAGGCUUGGAUUGUUUUGAGCCAUGGGGUGUAAUGUGUCGUCAUUAAUUCACUAUUUCAGCAUAGCUAGGCCUACCAGUUCUUCUUCACCUCUCUUUAGGCCAUUUUUUUAACUUCAAUUAGUAAUACAUCCAUGCUCAACUGGAUGUGUGUCGAUAUUUGAAGUGUUUGUGUGUCUUGUUCUUAUUGUACUAUUGAGGUGAGGUCGUCAACUGGAUUUUCUCUAAAGGUGUCUCAAAAAUGAUAUCUUAGCUUGGUGAACUAGUUUUCACAACAAAAAAAAAAAAAACAAAAAAAGAGAAUUCUAUGAGAUCCAGAAGCUUAUUUUAGUGUGUGUUCUUCCAUCUCAAUGAUUUCUGGAUUUUCGCUUGCUUCUGGGGUUAAGCUGGAGCUGUGUUACUGAUUUUGCAUUGCGAACUCCUCUCAUCUUGACAUUCUCCCCUACUUGGCUGGUGAUUCUUCUAUUUUUGGAUUGCAAACUAGGUACAAAUUAAGUCCAUUAUAUAUGUGUUGGUUUUUUUGUGCGACUGUUGGAUUGAAUUAACCUCGAAAUAUGAUUAAUGAGUUUGUUUAAAUAUGAUUCUUAAUUUCGUCAACUUAGUUUAGGAUGUGAUCAUUUUGUUGCCUUGUGUUAGUAGAUAAUUAAGACAAAAUUUUCAGUUGGGCAUUUGCCCAUUUUUGUGCUAGCACUAGGAGCUGUAAGUCUUAUUCUAAGUAUGCCUUUGUUUGAUUUGUUAUUUUUUAUCUCCUCUUUCUUUUAGGCGUUUUUUUCCUUUUCUGAAUGCCAUAUAUCUCAUUGUGUGCAUGUCUUAUAUUGAUGGAUAUAGGUCGUGGUUUGAGUUUAAAGGUUGAAUAAAUUCCUGAAUAUCCGUAGUUUAUUUUAAUUGAGCAAAGCCCUUUUGGAAUAAUUGGAGAUGCACCAUGCCAAACAUAAAAUAUUUUAAUUGUGUGGCCCUCAUUUUAAUUUUGUAUUGAUCCUUAGAAUUUGAGACGUGCCAUUUAGCAAAUUUCAUGGCCCUCGCAAAGUACAAAAUGCGUUAUAAUCUUUAGGCGCGUUUUAAUUAAAUUACUUUCCUAAAUUCGGGUGUGCAUUGAUGCGACCCAAAUCCAAAUCUCGAAGAAGUCGAAAUGUGUUGACGACCACGGGUUCCUUGAUGGCGACGGGGUCAGAGACGCGUUUUCACGACGUCGCAAUUCUUAUAAAACAAAUGACGGUCGAAAAAGGGUUCAAUAAAUUGUGACGAGCCUCACCGAACUAAAUAAAUGUGAGGUCCUCAACAAUUGUUUAUUCAAACAAUUAGAAUUUGGAAGGACCGUUUAGUGAAUUUCCACGGCCUUUCCCAAACAAUAUUACGUUAGAACCUUUAAGCGCGAUUUAAUUAAACUACGUCCUUAAACUCGGGUGCGCAUUGAUGCGACCCAAAUCCAAAUCUCGACGAAGUCGAAGUGUGUUGACGAACACGGGUGCCUUGAUGGCGACGUGGUCAGAAACCCAUUUUCACGACAUCGAAAGUCUUUUAAAAUAAAUAAUGGUUAAAGCGGUUUAUAAAUAAAAGCACAUAAACUAGCAUGUAAUAAACUAGCAUGUAAUAAAAUCAGAUAAAAUCAAAUACAACAGUUAAGCGAUCGUGCUAGAACCACGGAACCCGGGAAUGCCUAACACCUUCUCUCGGGUUAAUAGAAUUCCUUAUCCGGAUUUUGAUUCGCGGACUGUGAAUAGAGUCAAUUUUUUCCUCGGUUCGGGAUUCAAUUGGUGACUUGGGACACCAUUAAUCUCCCAAGUGGCGACUUCACAAUACACUCCCGCAAACAAGCGUAAAGGAGUUUUUCCACUUAAAGGACAAUCAGAACGGGAUUUAGUUUAUUAUUUACACCAUUAAUCUCCCAAGUGGCGACUCUGAAUAAAUAAUAAACUAAAUCCCGUUCUGAUUGUCCUUUAAGUGGAAAAACUCCUUUACGCUUGUUUGCGGGAGUGUAUUGUGAAAAAGGACGUGUGACAGCUCUGGCGACUCUGCUGGCGAAGAGAACCCAGAACGUUUUGUUCAGGGUUCAGAAUUCGAACUUAGAUAAAUUAUUGUAUUUGACUAUAUCUGAUUUUCCUACAUGUUUCAUGCUGAAUGCGCUAAAUGUUACUGCUUUGAUAUUAUCUUAACUGUAUAUAAAUUGUGCCGACACCCUUCUCUCUUUACCUCCGGGGAUGUGCUUACUGGUUAAGACUCCCUAUUCUGUUAGUGUCAUACCCUGAAAUAAGAAAGAGGCUCGGACGAGUUAUGAUGCCGGAUGGCCUUUUGGUUCCCGGUAAGUUGCCCCCUCCUCGACUCGAGUUGUCCGCUCGGGGUACACAGUCUAGAACACCGACCCAGGUUUUGAACAUAGAAUAACUUGACUUCAUAUCGGAUUCCUAGUAGGAACGCUUAUUUGCAUCACGUUGCAUUUGCCUUAGGGGACUCAACACAGGGGUUGGGUCCGUCUAGGAUUAGAAACCUGAAAUGAAAAAGAUCAUCCUAGUGCAUCCUACUUGUUCUGCGCAUUUAUAUGUUCAAACCUGCAUGUUGACCGGUUUUGAACCUUGAAAUGUCGGAAUUUGAGAAAAGACAAAAAAAAGGAGAGAAAAUGAGAGAUAGCAGUUAGGGAGUUACUGUAGGAUAAAAUCCGAUGCCCAAGUACUGCUGUAACUCUGCCAAAAUAUUGAGAAAAUGAUAAAAAAGGUUUUAUUUUAUUAGUUUGUUUUACUAAAAAGCGAAGGAAAAAUAAAAAAAUAGUCCUUAUUCUGUCUUGUUUUCAAAAAUAGAAAAGGAAAAAUAGUCUGUUUUCCCGGAAAAAAUGAAAAGAAAAGAUGCUUUAUUUUGGGUUUUCUUGUUUUCAAAAUAGUUUAUUUACCAACGGAAAAGAAAAUAGGUUGUUCUAUUGAAAAAUAAAAAGAAAAAGAGUCUUUAUUUUUAGCUUGAAAAAAUAGGUUGAUUUAUUAUUUGUAGAAAAAGAAAAAGAGUCUUUAUUUUUAGCUUGAAAAAAUAGGUUGAUUUAUUAUUUGUAGAAAAAGAAAAAGAGUCUUUGUUUUUAGCUUGGGAAAAAUAGGUUUUAUUGUUGAAAAGGAUAAGGAAAAAAAAAGUCAUUGUUUGGUCUUGUUUUCAAAAAAUAGAAAACGAAAAUAGUUUGUCUUGCCAUGAAAAAUAAAAAUGAAAAAGAGUCUUGUUUUUAAAAUAGUUGUUUAUUUGUUUAUGAAAUGCCAAAAAUGAAAAUGAAAAUAGUCGUGCUUUGAAAGUGGUUUUGUUAUUUGCUGCCAAAAAUGAAAAUAAAAAAGAGUCCUAUUUAAAAUUGUUCGGUUAAUUUGCCCGAACUACUCAUGGUUUGAUUCUCACAGGGCGUGAGAUACGUAGGCAACCCUCAUCGAGUCCAACCUACCCUUUACAAAAAAAAAUCAAAAAUUUCAAAAAAAAAAUUUGCAUCAUGAAUAAAUCGGGUGACGCCGUUUUGCAAAAAUAGCCAAAUGUUCCCAAAGGGAACGCCGAAAGGCUGACCUUGCAUACAUAGCCACAUUUGGUCAGGUUUUAAUUUUUGACCUUCACAGCCUUAAAAUCUUCGCCCCCGAGGCGCCAAAAGGCUGUGUUUGCAAUAUCUGGUCAUUCAUUUUAAUUUAAAAAAAAAAGAAAAGAACUAAAAAUAAGUCGGGUGACGCCGUUUUUGCAAAAAUAGCCGAAUGUUCCCAAGCGGGACGCCGACUUUGCAUAAACAGCCACCCUUGGUCAUGUUUUGGUUUUUGACCCUCACAGCCUUAAAUUUUCGUCCCCGAGGCGUUGAAAGGUCGUGUUUGCCAUACCGGGUCUUUUAUUUUAAUUUGAGAAGCAAGAAGAGUCGUAAAUAAGUUGAGUAGGCCCGUUUUGUCAUAAAUAGACGAACGUUCCCGAACGUUAAAAGGCCGUGUUUGCAAUACGGGGUAUUUUAUUUUGAAAAGCAAAAAAGAGAGUUGUAAAUAAGUCGAGUAAUGUCGUUUUGUCAUAAAUAGCCGAAUGUUCCCGAAAGGGACGCCGGAAGGCUGACUUUGCAAAAACGAUCAUUUUGGUCAAUUUUGAUUUUUAACCAGUUAGCUAAUGCGGCCUUAAAAUCUUGGCGCCCGAGGUGCUGAAAGGUCGUGGUUGCAAAACUAGGUCUUUUAUUUUAAAUAUGAAAAACAAGAAAAAGAGCCGGUAGUCAAGUGAAUACCGUUCGGUUUUUCGUCAAAAUAAGCCGGCCCAGCCUCAAAAUUCAUGUAAAAUUGGGAAGGGGCCAUGUUUGCAAAAACAACCACUUGGUUGAAAUUGGCAAGUAGGGGAAGGAAUUUGUCAGUUUUUUUUUUAUCAUGAAAAUGAAAAAUUCAAAAAAUAUUUUAUUGUCGUUUAUCUUUUAUUUUUAUGAACUACUCCUAGACUGAUUCGUGCGGGGUCACGAUACGUAGGCAAUCUACAUAAGAUUCGACCACAGCCAAAACAAAAAAAUGAAAAAAAAAUUUAAAGAAAUGGGAAAGAUGUUGUGAGUAAUGAGGACCGACCCAAUCCAUUCUAACAUGUUCUGUUUUGAAUUGUGAAGAAAGUGGAGGCGGUUGGUUGUGGUAAGCUGGAAACACAAGAUCCAAGGAAAAUGAUAACCGACGUUGAAGCUGUUACGAGUGCUCAUAUGACUCAGUGUCAGAGGGUUCAACAAGGGUCUACUGUGGUCCAGGGACAGCCUUGUCAUGAGUCACAAUUUGCUACACAUGAAGAACAGUACCACUCUCCCGAGUACUACUCAUACUUGUUUGACUUUCCUGCAAAAAUCGAGAAGCCUGCCCGAAAGAGGGUACAGGAAGAAAUAGCCCAAAGAGUGAAAAGAUUAGAACAACAGUUGAAAAACACGCAAGCAACGGCAGGUCAAAAGAAUGUUGCCUUCAGAGAUCUAUGCAUGUUCCCCGAUGUCCACUUGCCGCCUGGUAUCAAGGUUCCCAAAUUUGAAAUGUACAAUGGACACAGAGACCACAUAGCCCACCUAAAAAGGUAUUGCAACCAAUUGAGAGGUGUGGAAAAAAUGAAGAUUUUUUUUAAUUUAACAUUAUAUUCAUUAAUAAUCAAAAUAUGUAGAAGAUGAAGUUUUAGUAGGAGCUUUGACUUGCUCCAACUCGUUUACAUCAUUCCUCUAUCCUGAGGUCCUAUUAUAAAGCACUACUUAUUCUCAGUAUUGGAAAUUCAUACAAAUAUAGCUUAGGGAAACUAUCUAUUUGCCUCAAGCCAAUCUUCCAUCGACUGCAUUUUAAGCCUCUGGUAUGAAUAAGAAGAGCAAUCUCUCUACAGAUAAGAGUCUCUUCAUACUUUUUCAAAUCAUAUCUGAUUCUAUUCCUUUCCCUCCAGAUAAUUGCAAUUGUAUUGAUUAAAACACAAGCUGUUAUAGUAUUAAGGGCCACUCUACUUUUUGCCUUAGUACAUACCCAUUGCAAUUCAGUUUCCCAGACGGGGUCAAUGGGCGAUCAAUUGCCUUAGUACUUACCUGGACGGGGUUAAUGGGCGAUCAAAAAAAAUGAAGAAUUGCUUAUAGCUUAUUUUGGGGAAAGCCUCACGGGAGUAGCAUCUGAAUGGUUUUUGGAUCAAGACAUAUCUUGCUGGUACGUCUGGGAUGACAUGGCACGGGCCUUUGUCAAACAGUUUCAGUACAACAUCGACAUCGCCCCAGAUCGCAUUUCCCUUUCUAACCUGAAAAAGAAACCAACUGAAAGUUUCAGGGAAUAUGCCAUCAAAUGGAGAGAGCAGGCAGGUAGAGCUAAGCCACCCAUGUAUGACCACGAGUUAAUCACUAUCUUUCUACAGGCUCAAGAGCCAGAUUAUUUCCAAUACAUGAAAACAUAGCCACAUUUGGUCAGGUUUUGUAGAGCUAAGCCACCCAUGGAUGACCACGAGUUAAUCACUAUCUUUCUACAGGCUCAAGAGCCAGAUUAUUUCCAAUACAUGACGUCCGCAAUGGAAAAUCCUUCCCGGAAGCAAUCAAAAUGGUAGAAAUGGUGGAGACCGGUCUUAAGACAGGUACAAUUAUAAGUCAAACAGCUCUCAAAGCUGCAGCCCAUGCUGUCCAAAUUGAAUCUGGUUACACGAAUGAGAGGGAUGAAGAAAUCAUGAUGAUAUCAGCGUUGAGAAGAGGUCCUGGGAGAACAUCUCGAAGGUAUGUGCAGCCUCAUCAGGUUUUCCAUGACCCCCCUAAGCAUUACUAUCCACCUCCGAACCCCCAUACUCUAUUGAUCCUUCCCAGUAUGUUACCCAACCAUCAAAUCACCCAAGAAAGCGAGCACGAGUGUCACAAAAUCUCCACCAACCUCCGCAAAAUUUUCAAUUACCUUAUAACCCACAUCCAAGCCAGGGGUAUGUAAGGGAACAAAAGUUGAAAGAUAGUUUUACACCAAUAGGAGGGUCCUAUGCAAGCUUAUUUGAGAAGUUAAAACAAUGAUUGCACCCAUUCCUCCAAAUCAGGUGGACCGAUGUGCGAGAAGCUUUGACUCAUCUAAAAGUUGUGAAUACCACUCCAAUGCCCUGGGGAACAAUGUGUAAAAUUGUCGGGAUUUGAAAAGGGAAAUAGAAAGGAUGAUCUAGGGAAAUUUAAUAUCACUCUAAUGCUCUGGGGCACAAUGUGGAGAAUUGUCGGGAUUUGAAAAUAGAAAUAGAAAGAAUGAUUCAAAAAGGGGUAAUUGUGGUUAACGACAGUGAUAGGGUGCAUGCAAAUCCUCUUGGGAACUUGUUGAUUGAAGUUGAUGAUAUCGAAGUUGGUAAUGAUCCUAGCAAUAUUGAUGCAGAACACAGUGGUUAAGAUAGCAAGCUUGGUAAUUGGAAAGACGCUUCAUCUCUUUGCUAGCUGGAGAGAAGUUUUGGUGGUUUAUAUUGUUUUCACUUCUGUAGUUCGGGUUAUUUUCAGAGUUGUAAUCCGGAUAUUGUCUUGUGAAUCAAACCCUUCUAUCCUUUCAUUUGUCUAGUUCCUUACGUUUUCAUAUCUCAUGUAGUGUUAUCUAGGUUUGUUUUAGGAUUGUAACCCAGUUUGUGUUGCUUGUUUUGUUGUUGAACCCUUUCAUCGUCUAUUUAAUACAAUUCUCUAUUUUUUGCCAUUUCUAGUCAUUUUUGUUUAGUUCUCUUUUUAUUUCUACAAUUCUUUUCCUGUCAGAUUUAGUGACAUGGCAUGCACGCAUAAUUCUCAGCUAUGUUGGUAGGGAAGCAAUGAAACCAUAAUGAGUGCAUUUGAGGAAAUAAGAAUAGACUUGGACAUUGUGAGAUUGUCUGACGCUUGAACCAUGUGAAAUCGGGACAAGUAAAACAUAAAAAUCCCUGCAAAAGCAAUUUGACAGGGGGUUAAUCGUGGUAAUAAGGGUAAGAGUGUGGUACAAUGGCACAUUAUAUCAGACAAAUGUAGAAACAAAUGUUGGAAAUGAUUGUCAAUUCCGAUGCAGUCAAGAGAUACUGUGUAUGGUUUCUGUAUUUUGAUUAUACCUGUUUGUACUUGGCAUAUUUUGUUGAAAUGACGAAGGCAUUUUGUUCUUGCUAUCCAAACACUUUUUUUCAUUGUCACCCCUUUUGAGUUGUGUUUAUUUUUUUGUACCCCUCUUUUGGAAUCAAGGGGACAAUCAAAUAAAUGCAAGUGCCAGAGAUAAGCAAAUGGAAAAUGAAAAAUGAAAAGGGAAGAAAGGAAAAUGAGAAAGAAAGAAAGAAAGAAAAAGGAAAAAAAGAAAAGAAAAGAAAAGAGAAGAGAAGAGAAGAAAGAAAAGAAAGAAAAAGAAAAAGAAAAAAAAGAAAGGAAAAAGCAAGAAAAACAGAAAGAAAAGAAGAGAAAGAAGAUCACAACAACGUAGUAUCUAUGACGUGAACUACGUUUGACUUGAUCCCGAAACGGUACGUAGGCAGCCUCUCUGAGGUUCAGUCAUACCAAAAUAAAAUUCCGAAAAGCCCCCAAGCAAGGAAGUGGGGCAGAAGUUGAGGUACGUAGCAACCUCUCUGAGGUUUAGUCAUACCAAAAUAAAAUUCCAAAAGUCCCCAAGCAAGAAACUGGGGCAGAGGUUGUGAUUGUUGAAAGAAAUCGGAUUCCGAAAGUUGUAGUUUUAACCCCAUUUUGAAUUGUUUUGAGCCUUUAUAUCCUUUCUUUCUAAUCCUAUCCAAAAGCCCACAUUACGGUCUAAAGAAAGACUUUCCGAUCAGUCUUUGAGGAAUUUCAAGCCAAGCAUAUAAGGGUAAUUCAUGUCAGGGGCAACACUCCAGUCCAAGCAAGAAAAAUAGAGAGCCGGAUUGAUGAAAACCUUCAGGGGUACCGCAAGGCGAUGAAAGUUGAGAAAAAUAAAAAUGAGAGUCUUAUCAGUGAAAACCUUCACGGGCACCUUAAGGCGACAGUAAGUGGAGAGAAAGAAAAUGAGAGAAGCUUGAUGGUGAAAACCCUUCGGGCACUACAAGUCGAAUAAGGAAUGUAAAUCACAUUGGAUAAGCAGAGCACCGAAGCCCAGUUUCACGGCGAAAAGGUGCAACAAGAGCUGAACAUCAGGUUUGAUUGACAAAAUAACUAUAGGUACAUGUCAUGGUCAUUAGAGUAGGUACCCUCAUCUGAUAGGUCUCUACUUUAUAGUUUUCUCCUUUAGUAAUCAUCUCUUUCCUUUUACCUUCACUUCGUUCCUCUAUUAUUAUUAAAUUCCUCUUUCUGAGUCUUUUUGGUCGUAACAAGUGAGAAAUGAAUUCAAAAUUUGCCACCAGCUUUCCAAUUGCACAAAAUGGGGUCACAAGCCACGAAAAACAACAAGAGCACUAAGCUGGUAAUAAUCAACACCAGUUUUUGGGGGAGCAGUUCUGGAAGAAGGUAAUUCAAGUUAGAAGGUAUAUAAAGCAAGUUUCGGAGGAAAAUCUUAGUCUGAUGAAUUUUUCACCUAAGAUAAAGAAAUCUUAGUCUGUUGAAUCUUUCACCUAAGAAAAAAAUCUUAGUCCGAUGAAUUUUUUACCUAAGAUAAAAAUCUUAGUCUCAUGAAUCUUUCUCCUAAGAUAAAGGUAGAAGUUGAAAAAGGGAAAGAAAAGCAUAAUUUGGGAAAAAGGAAAGGCAGAAGUUGGAAAAAGAAAAGAAGCCAUAAUUUGGAAAAAACAGGGGAAGGCAGAAGUCGUAAAAAGAAAGGAAGGCGUAAUUUGGGAACAAGAAAGGAAGGCAGAAUUUGAAAAGAAAGGAAGUUGGAAUUUGGAAAAUUAUUAAAUUCUGAAGUCGAAAAUGAACCUAGUCUGAUACAUUAUCUCCUUGAGUCAAAAUCUCAGUCCGAUGAAUCUUUCUCCUGAGAUCACAUAAAAAUAGACCUAGUCUGAUGAAUUGUCUAGUAGUGUCAGAAUCUUAGCUGUUGAAUCUUUCACCCAAGGUAAAAUCUUGGUCUGAUUAAUGUUUCACCUAAGAUCAAAGAAAAAGAAGAUGUUUCAUUGAAGUGGGCCAGUUUAACUUAACUCUUGGCAGCCCAAAAUCGUACCCGCCCCAAUUAGACCCAACCCAACCCAUUCCCAAUUGAUUAACAAACGCGAAAUUGAACAGGCAGAACCCUAAUUCCCUGUUCCUCUUCUCCAAGCGGUCCAAAACGUUCUGCCUCACCCGAUUUCGCCCCAAAAAUUGACCUCACACGCUCUUUUCUUCUCUCUUAUUUCCACAUAGGUGUAACGACCUCUGAGAACAACAAGAUUGCCUCCUCACUCUCCCGUUUUCAAGCUAUCUCAAGUGGAUUAGAAGGCUCUAGAAGAAGGGUGUUGGAUGAGUGAGAGGCGUCGGAUCGAUUUGAUUCAAUCCGAGCCUCACGUUCAUCACAUGCUCGUUUUCAAGAGAGCCUCAUCCGUUUUUCAUGAGGAGGGGGAAAGGAUCGAGAGUUUUGAUAUAAGGGACCAUUUCGAGUAAGUAGGGAGGAUUUUUUUUGGAGUCGAAAAGAUUGAAAAAAAAGUUUGAGAGUUCAUUCAGUUUUCUUGGAGUUUUUUUGGAAUUUAAUUUUGAUUAUGGAAGAAAAGGCUGAGAUAUUCCAUUUUCUCAAGGCUGAGAUAUUCCAUUUUCUCUUGGUUUCGGGUCCUGGUUCUGUUUCCGAAAAUCUAAAAAAAGAAGAAAUUUUCACUAUCUUUCUUUGAGUCCUUACAGAAAUAGAGAUGGAUUGAGUUUGUUCAAGUUUUCUUUUCUGUCCUGUUUGUUUCAUAAUUUUACUGGAGAUCAGUUUUGAUUAGCAUUUCGAUGCACUAGAGUUCUCUUUGAUUUCGAUCUUGUUUUCGGACGAACGAUGGCACUCGUCGAGAAGUGUGAGUCUGCUGCUGUCUGAGCUUCUGAUUUCAACUCAUUAGCUUCAAGGUCUCAUUUGUAUUCCAAGCUCGUACGAAGUUAAACGGGUUGUUUAUUGAUUCAGGUUUGAUUUUAAUCCCAUGUAGCCUAUCUUUGGCGUUUGAUUAUGAAAUGUGACUGUUUGGUUGUAAUGUGUUGGUUUUCCAUUUGCACGAGUAUGUCUGGUUUGACUCGGCUGUGUAUAUGUCACUGAUUUCUGAUUUUGCUGUGUAUUUAGAACUGUUGCGAUCCUCUAUUAAAUUCAGGUCGAACCGUCUUCAUGACUAGUUCAUUUCUUCAUAAGUUUCCUUUUGGUUAAGUUAGAAUUUAAAAAAAUAAACAUGAGUAAUUGUUUGCUGCUGUAGUUUGAAUUUUGAGAGACGGAUGAAACUAUCUUUGAGAUGCUGAGAAUUUGAAAGCCUCUUGUGGUUUGAAUUUUAAAUAUUGGAAAUCUUUUUCUGGCUUCUUCCUUUUAGUGUGGGUUCUGUUUGUAUUUGCUAGCAAUUUAGCUAAGAAUCAGUUCUGAUUCGUGUUGGCUUCACGCUAGAUUUAUUUGUUUCUUGAUGAUUCGAGUUUGAAACAAAUUAUUCUGUUGAUUGAACUAUUUGAGUUCCAUCCUGAUUUGUCUUAGCCUCAUUUUGGUUCAUCUUAGUUGAUCCAUUGUUUAAUGAAGUAAGUUGUAAAUCUUUGUGUCACGAUUUCAUUUAAACGACUGAAACUAUUGCUUUCAUUUGAAUAGCUGAAUCUAUUUGACGCUAUCUUCUAUGAUUUUCUGAUAUCACUUAAACGACUGAAACUGUUUGUUUUCAUUUAAAUAGCUGAAUCUAUACAGAGCUGUCAUCUCUGAUUUUCCUUCGUUCUCAAAUGAAAAGUUUCCUAGACGUUUUAUUGUUUGGUAAAAGAAUUACUGUUGAUUAUCCAUCUUUGUUGCAUAUUGAAUUGAAUACCAGUUAGGAUGUUCUUGCUUUAUUUACUGUUAAAAACAAUGAAAAACAGUACUGUAGCUACAUGCUUGUUUUAGUCGACUGUAUUUCAAAUCUUAUUUCAGUUUUUUCAUGGUUAUUAUGUUUGAUGUGGUGCAUCAGUCAAGCCAGUUCAUAUAUUGAAGAGUCGUGUCUAAUGUGAAUCUGAGUUAGCCGGGGUUUACUCCACAAAAAACCCACCCUGUUUUGCACUAUUCGAGUGUUAAUUUCGAGGGCUAAUAUGCAUAUGUUGAAGAGUCGUGUCUAAUGUGAAUCUGAGUUAGCCGGAGUUUACUCCACGGAAAACCUGCCCUAUUUUGCACUGUUCGAGUGUUAACUUCGAGGGCUAAUUCUGUCAGGCGUGGAUUAUUUUGAGCCAUGGGGUGUAAUGUGUCGUCAUUAAUUCACUAUUUCCGCAUAGUUAGGCCUACUAGUUCUUCUUCACCUCUCUUUAGGCCAUUUUUUAACUUCAAUUAGUUCUACCUCCAUGAUCAACUACUCCCUGUUAAGGAUGUGUUCAGUAGGUAGUUGAUCCAUGUCAUUCUAAGUUAGUUCGAUGUGUGUUGAUAUUUGAAGUGUUUGUGUGUCUUGUCUUAUGGUACUAUCGAGGUGAAGUCGUCAACUGGAUUUUCUCUAAAGGUGUCUCAAAAAUGAUAUCUUAGUUUGAUGCACUAGUUUUUACAAAACAAAAAACAAAACAAAAAAAAAAAGAAUUCUCUGAGAUCCAGAAGCUUAUUUUAGUGUGUGUUCUUCCAUCUCAAUGACUUCUGGAUUUUUGCUUGCUUCUGGGGUUAAGCUGGAGCUGUGUUACUGAUUUUGCAUUGCUUAACUCCUCUCACCUAGACAUUCUCCCUUACUUGGCUGGUGAUUCUUCUGUUUUUGGCUUGCAAACACAUUAAGUCCAUUAUAUAUGUGUUGGUUUUUUUGUGCGACUGUUGGAUUGAAUUAACCUUGAAAUAUGAUUAAUGAGUUUGUUUAAAUCUGAUUCUUUAUUUUGUCAGCUUAGUUUAGGUUGUGAUCAUUUUGUUGCCUUGUGUUAGUAGGUAAUUAAGACAAAAUUUUCAGUUGGGCAUUUGUCCAUUUUCGUGCUAGCACUAGGAGCUAUAAGUCAUAUUCUAAGUAUGUCUUUGUUUGCUUUGUUAUUUGUUAUCUCUUCUCUUUCUUUUGGCAUUUUUUUUCCUUUUCUGAAAGCCAUAUACCCAUUGUGUGGAUGUCUUAUAUUGAUGAAUAUGGGUUGUGGUUUGAGUUUAAAAGUAGAAUAAAUUCCUGAAUAUACGUAGUUUAUUUUAAUUGAGCAAAGCCCUUUUGGAAUAAUUGGAGGUGCGCCAUGCCAAACGUAAAAUAUUUCAAUUGUGUGGCCCUCAUUUGAAUUUUGUAUUGAUCCUUAGAAUCCGAGGCGUGCCAUAUAGCAAAUUUCAAGGCCCUCGCAAAGUACAAAAUGCGCUAGAAUCAUUAGGCGCGUUUUAAUUAAAUUAAUUUCCUAAAUUAGGGUUUGCAUUGAUGCGACCCAAAUUCAAAUCUCGACGAAGUCGAAAUGUGUUGACGACCACGGGUGCCUUGAUGGCGACGGGGUCAGAUACGCGUUUUCACGACGUAGCAAUUCUUAUAAAACAAAUGGCGGCCGAAAAAGGGUUCAAUAAAUUGAGACGAGCCUCACUGAACUAAAUAAAUGUGAGGUCCUCAACAAUUGUUUAUUAAAACGAUUAGAAUUUGGAAGGUGCGUUUAGCGAAUUUCAACAGCCUUUCCCAAACAAUUUUACGUUUGAAGUUCUAAGCGCGAUUUAAUUAAAUUACUUCCUUAAACUCAGGUGCGCAUUGAUGUGACCCAAUCCAAAUCUCGACGAAGUCGAAAUGUAUUAUGAAGACGAGUGCCUUGAUAGCUACGAGGUCAGA